rnacentral:rRNA from 1 species
CCUACGGGUGGCAGCAGUGGGGAAUAUUGCACAAUGGGGGAAACCCUGAUGCAGCGACGCCGCGUGAGUGAAGAAGUAUUUCGGGAUGUAAAGCUCUAUCAGCAGGGAAGAAAAUGACGGUAUCUGACUAAGAAGCGCCUGACAACUACGUGCCAGCAGCCGCGGUCAUACGUAGGGGGCAAGCGUUAUCCGGAUUUACUGGGUGUAAAGGUAGCGUAGCUGGCCAGACAAGUCAGAAGUGAAAGCCCAGGGCUCAACCCUGGGACUGCUUUUGAAACUGCCGGGCUGGAGUGCAGGAGAGGUAAGCAGAAUUCCUAGUGUAGCGGUGAAAUGCGUAGAUAUGAGGAGGAACACCAGAGGCGAAGGCGGCUUACUGGACUGUAACUGACGUUGAGGCUCGAAAGCGUGGGGAGCAAACAGGAUUAGAUACCCGUGUAGUC